GGAAUCCGGCAGCGGACCCCGCCAGCUGCCCCUCCGCCUCCUCCAGGCCCCGGGCCGCCCUCAGCAACGUGACGCCGCAGGCGGUUGGUAGGGCCGGGGCAGGAAGUGGUUCCUGGCGGCGGAGAGCACUUCCGGGGCAGCGCGGCAUGGCGGCGCCGGGCCGGGAAUGGUUGAAUCCCCAGCCGUGAGGAGCAAGAAGAGGCGCUGGAUGCUAAGGUGGAAAGCGGAGCUUGUGUGUGCCAGGAGGCAGGCGUGGUGAGGUGCGCUUUGGAGCGUGCUGUUGUUGGCGCUGGGCUCGGGAGGCCCCUGAACAUGGCGCUGUGUGCUGCGUGUCCCAGCCCCAAGAGAUUCCCGUGUGGAAGAAGGGAGAGGAUGAAGGAGGCCGAGGGCCCUUUUCUCGGGGCCGGCUCCUCUGUGGCCUCUUGCUUGCCGGAGAGAAGGGCUGCCCGCUGGGCACAGGGAGCGCCUUCUAGCUGCCGUCCCGUGCCCUGUCCUGCAGCCCCCUCCUCAUGCUAUGUGGAACGCCAUUGCCAGCAGUGCGGCUGCCAUUUUAGAACCUUCGCCGCAUCACAGCCGUCACCUUGGUCACCGCUGCCCCGGCCAACGCACUCGCCUCUGUGAGCUCUGUCAGCCAUGGCAGGAGCAAAGAGAGCGAGGGGCACAAUUUGCCCUAUUUUAAAUGGGAAGAGGGAGCUUGGCUUCCCAGAGGCGAAGAGGAGGAGGGGGGCCGCCUUUAAGAUCAAGCGGAGGAGGGGGCAGCGAUUCCGUUUCCAUCGCGCCUGGACCAGCGCUGUGACCACCUCCGUGGAGCCCAUGGAGGUGGAUCCACCUCUGGAUGAGCCCAUGGAGGUGGAUCCACCUCCAGAAGAGCCCAUGGAGGUGGAUCCGCCUGCGGCUCAGCUGGCCUGGCACCACACCACCGUGCCAGGCCCCGCAUCGGCGCCGUCCCUCCACCGCCGCUGGUCCAGGCGCUCGGCUCCCUACCCGCUGCGCGGCCCCCGCCCCCAGCAUUAGCUGGGUGGCAUGAGUUACCAUCUGCUCCUCCUCCGAGCCUCCUGUGGAGCCAAGUUCUCCUCUUCCCAUUUAAAUGCUGCGGGAGUUAUAGUUUAGUUGUUGUUUUUCUCGUUGCUUUUAGUGUUAAGUUUAGUGUUAGUGUUAGGAGUAGGUUAUUGUUCAUGUUUUAGAGUUAGGCAUAGGUUACUUGUAAUCUUUUAGUGUUAGGCAUAGGUUCCUGUUCUUAUGUUAGAGUUAGGCGUAGGUUACUUGUAGUCU